rnacentral:lncRNA from 1 species
UGAAGUUUUAGCAUGAUUUCACUAAUGGUCACUCUGUUAAGUUUAGGGCCGUUAUAAUUUUAGUUCAAACUUAAAGGUCCAAAACAAGUGAACACAAAACCUUGAGGACCUCUCAAAUUGGAUAUAUUUUUAAAAACAAUCUUAAAAAAAGAAAAGAAAAUCUUAGGCCCUAUUCUCUUUACCGUUUUCGGGUCGUUUUCUGCUUUCGAUUUUUCAAAACAGUGAAAACGCGUUCUCUUUUCCGUUUUCGAAAACGAAUUUUCGAAAACGAAAAAAAAUUUGUGAAGAAAACACAAAACGACUUUUUUGUCGUUUUGGGCGUUUUCAGUGUAAAACUUGACAAAAUUGAAAACGCGGGAAACACCUCUUUUUUUUUUUUUUUUUUGAGGAGGUGGUGUCGUGAUUCUCAAAAUUUCAAAAAAAAUUAAAAAUUAAAUUUUUUUUUUUUUGAGGAGAUAGUGUGGUGAUUCUCAAAAUUUCAAAAUUUUUUUUUUUUUUUUUGGUGUUUCGAGGUGGUGUUGUGGUGAUUCUCAAAAUUUAAAAAAAAAAAAUUUUUGUUUUUUGUUAUGAGAAACUAAUAAAAAGAACGCAUUUUCAACAAUUUCAAAACAAACACUCAAAACACAAAACUCAAAAUGAAUUCAAAACUCAAAACACAAAACUGAAACACAAAGAGAACACUCCCUUAGCAAUUUAACGUGAAUCGUCGUCUACUGCACCGUACGGAGCCGGUGGUUUCAAAGCCAAAUUCGACCACCAUACCGUUGGAUAAA